AUUAAUAAGCGAAGGAAAAGAAACUAACGAGGAUUUCCUCAGUAACGGCGAGUGAAGCGGAAAGAGCCCAGCACCGAAUCCCCCGCCUUGACGGGCGGCGGGAACUGUGGUGUUAAGGACAGUCCAUGGGGAUCGAUCGGGGGUCCGAGUCCUCCUGAUCGUGGCUUCACCCAGAGCGGGUGUCAGGCCUCUACGGCGCCCGAUCGGUUCUCUAAGAUCGUCCUAGGAGUCGGGUUGUUUGAGACAUGCAGCCCAAAGCGGGUGGUAAACUCCAUCUAAGGCUACAAUACANACACGAGUCCGAUAGCGCACAAGUACCGUGAGGGAAAGUU
rnacentral:rRNA from 1 species